rnacentral:lncRNA from 1 species
AAACCUUACCAUUCAAAAUGGCAUUUUUGGACCUUUUGCAUUUAAAUUCAAAGUUUGACCAAACUUUGACUUUUUGAGUUUUUGACUUUUUCUUGAUUUGGUCAAUUGGGAAAUGUUCCAUACAUCAUUUGUGAUUUGUUCCAAGCCAUAAACCAUCAUCAUACCACCUUUACACCUCAUUUUGACCAAAGUUGCACAAGUUGUUAUUUUUG